rnacentral:lncRNA from 1 species
UCAGAAUUCUAUAAAGGAAACAACUUUCACAAGUACUUAAUUCUCAGUGAAAUGUAGUCGCGUUUAUAAAACCUCUAGGGUUUCGGUAACCGAUUUAGGGCACGAAUUGGAAACGAAAGUGGCAUUAAAUUUGUUGUUGAAUCUGAAUCCGGAGUUUGAAACAGUGAAACAGACCGGCAAUGAAAGGAAUUGGAAUAAGAGGAAUCCGGUUUGAACCGGUGUGAAGGAUGCCGGAGAUUAUGACGGAGAGAGGAGAAGGAGAAGGUUGCCGGAAGAGAAAGUGUCGGUGGCUGGCAAAUAAGUUUAUAUUUGUUUUUUAUUUCUCAAUUUGUAUAAAUAGUCCUUGA